GCCGGGGUGGCGGAAUAGGUAGACGCUACGGACUUAAAAUCCGUUGGGUAUUUCAAACCCGUGCGGGUUCGAUUCCCGCUUCCGGCACCA
rnacentral:tRNA from 1 species